rnacentral:rRNA from 1 species
AAUAGAUACCCAGGUAGUCCACGCCGUAAACGAUGAGUGCUAAGUGUUGGGGGGUUUCCGCUCCUCAGUGCUGCAGCUAACGCAUUAAGCACUCCGCCUGGGGAGUACGGUCGCAAGACUGAAACUCAAAGGAAUUGACGGGGGCCCGCACAAGCGGUGGAGCAUGUGGUUUAAUUCGAAGCAACGCGAAGAACCUUACCAGGUCUUGACAUCCCGGUGACCACUAUGGAGACAUAGUUUCCCCUUCGGGGGCAACGGUGACAGGUGGUGCAUGGUUGUCGUCAGCUCGUGUCGUGAGAUGUUGGGUUAAGUCCCGCAACGAGCGCAACCCUUAUUCUUAGUUGCCAUCAUUCAGUUGGGCACUCUAAGGAGACUGCCGGUGAUAAACCGGAGGAAGGUGGGGAUGACGUCAAAUCAUCAUGCCCCUUAUGACCUGGGCUACACACGUGCUACAAUGGACGGUACAAACGGUUGCCAACCCGCGAGGGGGAGCUAAUCCGAUAAAACCGUUCUCAGUUCGGAUUGUAGGCUGCAACUCGCCUAC